UAAUGGUCAUUGAUGACGAAGGGUAUAGCCGCAUCGGGAAUGAGCAUAAACGCAUCAUUUUGAAAAUGGGAUACGUAGUUGGGAAAGAGAGCAAGGAGUGAAGAAUGACCCGUCCAAAUUUGAGCGCUGAACAAAUAACAAAUGUACGCACAAGAGUCCAGGAACAACUUGGCAAGUGGCCAAGCAAAGUGUGAGAAUAUAGGGCGCUUCUAAGUGUAAUUACGACAGAAAUACGGAAAGAGAAGCAACAUGCUUGUUGGAAAGAAAAAAAAACCAAUAAGCUGGUGGAACGGGGAGAUACGACAAGCGAUCGCCGUACGACAGACAGCAUCACGAGAACACAGGCAGGCAACAAAGCGCAGUUGCCACAGGAUGACGUGGCCAGAAAAUGAGAAAUAUACCGGGAGAAAAAAAUCUAUGGUUCAGAUACUGGUUCAAGCAAA
rnacentral:lncRNA from 1 species